rnacentral:lncRNA from 1 species
AAACCAAACGAACCAGAGAAGCUGAAAGUGGUUAAUGUUGAACCAGUCCACCCAGGACAUAUUGUGCUAACUGCUACCGAGGGAUUAGUGGAGGGCCAUGUUAUCAUGACUAUGGCAGGCCAGCACCCCCAUGUUAUGAAGCUUACGGACGGCCAGUGUAUGAUAGUUGGUCUGGCGGCGGCGGCGGCUAUGGUUGCCAAAGAAGCGGUUACUAUGCGUGCAGAGGUGAAUAUGUCUGUGAAGAUAAUCCCUCGUCAUGCACAAUCAUGUGAAAGCAUCAAGAAUGUCGAUGCUUUAGUAUGGUGUCGAUAUGAUCAAAUUACACAAUAGCAUUACUUAUGCUCAUGUCAUAACCUUGUCUAGCUAGCUAGUUGCCUAUGUUGAAAUGUUGGGGUCAGUUUUGGCUGCAUUUUGGGUCUUCUUUCAUCGUUAUUAAGAUUUUUGUGAUACAAUAAGGUUGUUGAUCGGGAACCAUGGUUGUUAAAAUCAUGUUUUGACUCGUAAAAUCAUAUAAUUUUACAAAUCAAAACAUGUAUUACGAGUUGAAUCGCUUGAAAAAAUCGAAAAUGGAUAAAAUCGAGUUGAAAUCAAGUGAAAUCGCAAAAAUCGGAUGAAAUCGCGCAAAAUCGCGAUUUCAGGACCGAUUUUAUGAUUUUGACAAAAUUAGGUGCUGAAACAAAAUUCACCCCUCAUAUCCAGCUGUCAGAAACCAUUUGGAUUUUUCUUGCACAGUCACGGACUGUCUUCACUUUUUUCUUGCACUGAUUUUUCUUCCACUGUCUUCACUCUUCACUUCAGUCUUCUGGCGAAACCGCGAAAGUACUAACAAUUCUUGCACAGUCCCCUGAUCGUUCUCCUGUUUUCUGGUUUUUUCUAUGUGUUUUGCUUGCGUUCCCCUUCCUAACCGGUAGAAAACCCAGGCUAUAAAAUUAGCAAGCAAACAAGAUGGAGAAGGUAAAGCUAAUUGACAAGCUAUCACACUGUACGUACUUCAACAAUGGAAUUGAAAAGAACAGGCUAUGAUCUGUGACUAGAUGGAAGUAAUAAACACUAGGGAUCGCCUCUUGAAAUUAUUCAAAUGAUCUUGAUCAUACGACAUGAACAAACAUUUCAGACUUGAAGUGCAUAGAAGAAGAAGAGCUCUAAAUCUGGAGGAGCAAAGAAAGCAAUUGGUCUCCUCUGCAAAGAGCAAAUCGAUAUCAUCCUUUGCUUCCUCGGCGCUGGUGGGCAUGUCUGAAUCUCUGGUAUCCGAAAUCUCUCAGCUUUUGGAGUAGAGCAUGCACUCGUGGAGAUAUCAACACCCUCGAAAUCCAAGCCAUUGAUCCUUGAAUAGUCAUCACAGCUCGUGGAGAAGUUAGAAGGAAAAUCCUGUUCAAUUGUAGUUGAUGCCUCUUUAAUGCUCUUCGGCUUCACAACUGCUCUUUUAUACUGGGUUUUUCUCCUUGUUCUUGUUCUUGCUCUUUGGUGUUUCUGCAAUUCAACCUCCAAUUUCUUUAAUUAAUUAAAUCAAAGUUUAAUUAAGUUCUCAAACUAAUCAAUUUUUUAAUUAAACUCAUGAUUUUAUUAAUUGAACUAAUCCAAAUUUUAAUUAAAUUCUCAAAGUUAUUAAUUCUUCAAUUUCAAACCAAUUGACUCUCAAAUUUUAUUUGAAUCAUGUAUUUUAAGAUGCUUGAACUAUAUAUAAAUUUUUAUUUGACGACUUGAAAUAUGUAUAAAUUUUUAUUUGAAACAUAAUUUUUUUUAAUGUAUUUUAAAAUUCUUUACGAUUUUACGAUCUGUUUUUACGAUCCGAGUUUGUAAACGACUUUUCGUGUCAUGUUAAAAUCGCGAUUUUAACAAUUUUGGUGGGAACAAUCUUUUAUUACAAGAGAUGUUAAGAUUUUUAAUAAAUUAAUAUAAGGGAUUUUAAAAGCUCCAUAAUCAUUGCUAUUUGUAUAGUGAUAGUGCAUCUCAACAUCUCCUUUCCAUUCAUUUUCUUAAAUUUCUGACAGUAACUGGUCGAUGGCUUUUGUUUGUAAACGUUACCAAGCUUCGCUGUCAGAAAUUUAGGUCAUGCAUAAUCCAUUUAGAUAAUGGGAUGUGGACUACCAUGAUCCUAUCAUUGUUCUUGGCGAUAAGAAUUCUCCCUUGAAUUUAUCACAGAAUUAUUGAAGUGAGCAGUUCCCUUCCUUCUCGUGAUUUGUUGACAUGAGAUUAUGUAAAGUUGUCGACUAGGAAAUUUAUAUGAGUUGCUCUCUAGACACUAUUAUUAUUGAUUAAAAGAGUGAAAUUCUUGUGCAAUUCAUAAUGAAAAAUAUGGGAUUCCUAUUCUCUCACGUUUUAUAUAAAUGUUCUAUGGGUUAGAAGGUUUAUCAUGUCAAUUUAUAGAUCAUUGGAUCAAUUCAGAUGUAUCAUAAAAUAAUAUUGUUUUUGUUAAAAAAGUUGGAAAGGAUAUAUCAAUUGAAUUUUUUUUUUUUAAAUCCAAGUAAUUUACCAAGUUGAGGUUAAUCAAGUCAACAUCCACUCCAAUUAAAUAUAAAACUUGGUUUGUGUUAGAUUCUAUAUCGACUAUGAUUAUAUAAUAAGAUUCCCAAUGAUUUUUUUUUUUUAUAUAUUUGUUGGUUUAAAUAAUUCUACUGGAAUGAAAGAAUAUAAUCAGAUUUAUUUACAUGAAAUAUGAUUUUUUUUUGUACUUAUUGGUACAAAUAAGUCUAUUACAAAUAAUUCUCAAUUUAUUUAAUUGAAUGAAUAAAUAAUUUUUUUUUAUUUAUAAUCAGAUUUUUUUACAUUAAAAAAUAUAAUGAAAAAACAUGUUUAUUCAUUUUGUUUUCUACUAGAAAGAAUAAUAUUUGAUCCAAAGCAAAGCAAUAUGUGUCGCUUGCACCCUGUUUUAGCCUCUAAGCUUCGAGGCAGUCGUGGUAUAGCCAUGUAAGUUAAUACGCCCUGUAAAACAUGGGCUAAGCUCAAUAUUAAUGAAACCUAGUUUGUCAUUCAGAAAACAUAGAUAAUGGACUCAUGACCUGUAGAGUAGAGGCUCAAAUUUCAAAUUAGAUUCAUGUGAUUAUUGUUGGCAUGAGCUGUACAAACCUACACACAAUAGGAAACUAUAGAUGUAAUAUUCUAGUAUAUCUUAUAUUUAUGUAAAUCCCGAUUGUUAUGGGAUAGUAUUUGAUUUCUUUCCAAAGACAGCUAGUAGAGGCAGCAGCUGCAUAGUAUAUGUAAAGAGCAAGUAUCAGAAAUAAAGAAAGACAGAAUUCUUGAAUGAAAUCUCGUCAGGUUUACAUGGUAUCAGAGCCGAGAUCCUUUGUCUGAUCUCUGCUAGCAACAUCUGACAAUAGAGGUGAUGGCAACACCAACCGGCUUGGUUGAACCAGAGCAACCUAAUACAACUGAAAACCUUGAAGAUCUUAUGGCAAGAGUGAAUCAAGCCAUAAACCAGAAUCAGACUCCAGCAGUAAUGCAGGAUAUAACUGCAACACAGAUUGGUAUAAAAUUGGAUGGUACCAAUUAUGCUUUGUGGUCCCAGAUUGUUGAGAUGUUUAUCUCAGGAAAAGACAAGCUAGGGUAUAUAAAUGGUGACUUUCCACAACCAGAACCGGCUGCUCCUUCAUUCAGGAGAUGGAGGACAGAGAACUCUGUCGUGAAGGGAUGGUUAAUUGGCUCAAUGAAUCCAUCAUUAGUUAGUAACUUCAUUCGAUUUCCCACGGCAAAACAGGUAUGGGAUUCAAUUGCUACAACCUAUUUUGAUGGAACUGAUGCUUCCCAAGUUUAUGAUUUGAAGAGACGGGUGACUAGAAUGAAGUAAUCUGGAGAACCAAUUGAGACAUAUUACAACUGUCUCCAAGGCGUCUGGAGGGAGAUUGAUUUUCGCCGCCCGAACCCGAUGGAAUGUGUUCAUGACAUACAGAAAUAUAACACUCUCUUGCAAGAGGAUAAAGUGUAUACUUUCCUUGAUGGAUUAGAUGACAGGCUUGACAAGAUCAGAAGCGACGUUCUUCAACUAAAACCAUUCCCAUUUGUGGAACAGGCGUAUGCAUAUGUUAGAAGGGAAGAUAUCAGGCAGACAAUCAUGCUGUCAAAUAAUGGAACCAUUCCAGCCGCUGCUAUGAUCUCGAGAGGAAUGAGAAAUAGUUCACAGAAUCAGUUUACACUUCAGGUGGCCAAACCAGGGAAUUCUUCAUCACAUGGGGGAAAAUUGAAUUUUUCAAAGGCUAAAGGACAAACCGAAGGAGGAAGUCACGGAUGCUCUUACUGUGGGAACAUGAAACAUACCCGUGAAACAUGUUUUAAGUUGCAUGGUUACCCAGAAUGGUGGACAGAACUUAAGGCACGAAAGUCCAAAGAGUCUGCUGGUGGAACUGGACGAGCAGCCAUGGUUAAUGCAGAUUGUGCUUUUACAGGAGGAACAACCACGGAUAAGGGAGAACAACUUGUGACUAAAGAACCAGAACUUUCCCUUGCUCCACUGGUGAAUUCAAAUGAACUCAUGACUGCCCCUCCUGGUAAUCAAGGUAACAACAAUAGUGCCUUACUUGUUUCUAAAGGAGGCAAUAAUAAUGACUGGAUAGUGGACUCAGGAGCCACUGAUCAUAUGACAUUUUGUCUGGAGGAUAUUGUGAAAUUGACAGAACCAAGGCGGACUAAUAUACUCAACGCCAAUGGAGUUAUGUAUCCAGUUACAGGAGCUGGAACCGUAGACAUAUCUCCAUCAAUUUCAUUGCCUAAUACUCUAUUAGUACCAUAUAUGUCUAGUAAACUAUUAUCUGUGGGUCAAGCCACCGAAGAGCUCAACUGUGUAGCACUAAUGUAUCCACAAUUGUCUUUUUCAGGAUAUUCUCACAAAGGAGAUCAUUGGGCAUGGUACUAAGAGAGAGGGGUUAUACUACAUGGACGACUUCAGUUCAGGCAGAGUUAAUACUGUGAGUCGCACAUUUAGUGCAAGCAAAGAACAGAUUUGGCUAUGGCAUUAUCGAUUAGGACAUCCCUCAUUUAGCUACAUGAAGCAUUUAUUUCCACAGUUA